rnacentral:rRNA from 1 species
UACGUAGGGGGCAAGCGUUGUCCGGAAUCAUUGGGCGUAAAGCGCGUGUAGGCGGUCCGGUAAGUCCGCUGUGAAAGUCGGGGGCUCAACCCUCGGAUGCCGGUGGAUACUGUCGGGCUUGAGUACGGAAGAGGCGAGUGGAAUUCCUGGUGUAGCGGUGGAAUGCGCAGAUAUCAGGAGGAACACCAAUAGCGAAGGCAGCUCGCUGGGACGGUACUGACGCUGAGGCGCGAAAGCGUGGGGAGCGAACAGG